GGAGAGGUGGCAGAGCGGUUUAAUGCAUCGGUCUUGAAAACCGACGUUCCUUCACGGGAACCGUGAGUUCGAAUCUCACCCUCUCCGCCA
rnacentral:tRNA from 1 species